rnacentral:rRNA from 1 species
UACGUAGGGCGCAAGCGUUGUCCGGAAUUAUUGGGCGUAAAGAGCUUGUAGGCGGUUUGUCGCGUCUGCUGUGAAAACCCGGGGCUCAACCCCGGGCCUGCGGUGGGUACGGGCAGACUAGAGUGUGGUAGGGGAGACUGGAAUUCCUGGUGUAGCGGUGAAAUGCGCAGAUAUCAGGAGGAACACCGAUGGCGAAGGCAGGUCUCUGGGCAUUAACUGACGCUGAGAAGCGAAAGCAUGGGGAGCGAACAGG